UACGUAGGGUGCAAGCGUUGUCCGGAAUUAUUGGGCGUAAAGAGCUCGUAGGCGGUCUGUCGCGUCGGAUGUGAAAAUCCAGGGCUUAACCCUGGACCUGCAUUCGAUACGGGCAGACUAGAGUUCGGUAGGGGAGACUGGAAUUCCUGGUGUAGCGGUGAAAUGCGCAGAUAUCAGGAGGAACACCGGUGGCGAAGGCGGGUCUCUGGGCCGAUACUGACGCUGAGGCGCGACAGCGUGGGGAGCAAACAGG
rnacentral:rRNA from 1 species